rnacentral:rRNA from 1 species
GACGAACGCUGGCGGCGUGCCUAAUACAUGCAAGUCGAGCGAAGAUUUUCUGGUGCUUGCACUAGAAAAACUUAGCGGCGAACGGGUGAGUAACACGUAAAGAACCUGCCUCAUAGACUGGGACAACUAUUGGAAACGAUAGCUAAUACCGGAUAACAGUAUUUCUCGCAUGAGAGAUAUUUAAAAGUUGGUUAUGCUAACACUAUGAGAUGGCUUUGCGGUGCAUUAGCUAGUUGGUGGGGUAAAGGCCCACCAAGGCGACGAUGCAUAGCCGACCUGAGAGGGUGAUCGGCCACACUGGGACUGAGACACGGCCCAGACUCCUACGGGAGGCAGCAGUAGGGAAUCUUCCGCAAUGGGCGAAAGCCUGACGGAGCAACGCCGCGUGAGUGAAGAAGGAUUUCGGUUCGUAAAGCUCUGUUGUUAGGGAAGAAUGGAUAUGUAGUAACUAUACAUGUAAGAGACGGUACCUAACCAGAAAGCCACGGCUAACUACGUG